rnacentral:rRNA from 1 species
CUACGGGAGGCUGCAGUGGGGAAUAUUGCACAAUGGAGGAAACUCUGAUGCAGCAACGCCGCGUGGAGGAUGACACUUUUCGGAGCGUAAACUCCUUUUAUAUAGGAAGAAGAUGACGGUACUAUAUGGAUAAGCGCCGGCUAACUCCGUGCCAGCAGCCGCGGUAAUACGGAGGGCGCAAGCGUUACUCGGAAUCACUGGGCGUAAAGAGCGUGUAGGCGGAUUAAAAAGUCAGAAGUGAAAUCCUAUAGCUUAACUAUAGAACUGCUUCUGAAACUCUUAAUCUAGAAUAUGGGAGAGGUAGAUGGAAUUUCCGGUGUAGGGGUAAAUUCCGUAGAGAUCAGAAGGAAUACCGAUUGCGAAGGCGAUCUACUAGAACAUUAUUGACGCUGAGACGCGAAAGCGUGGGGAGCAAACAGGAUUAGAUACCCUGGUAGUC